rnacentral:rRNA from 1 species
UACGGAGGUCUCAAGCGUUGUUCGGAUUCAUUGGGCGUAAAGGGUGCGUAGGCGGCGCGGUAAGUCGGGUGUGAAAUCUCGGAGCUUAACUCCGAAACUGCAUUCGAUACUGCCGUGCUUGAGGACUGGAGAGGAGACUGGAAUUUACGGUGUAGCGGUGAAAUGCGUAGAUAUCGUAAGGAAGACCAGUGGCGAAGGCGGGUCUCUGGACAGUUCCUGACGCUGAGGCACGAAGGUCAGGGAGCAAACGGG